rnacentral:rRNA from 1 species
UACGUAGGAUGCGAGCGUUAUCCGGAUUUAUUGGGUUUAAAGGGUGCGUAGGCGGACUGUCAAGUCAGCGGUAAAAUUGAGAGGCUCAACCUCUUCCCGCCGUUGAAACUGGUGGUCUUGAGUGGAUGAGAAGUACGCGGAAUGCGUGGUGUAGCGGUGAAAUGCAUAGAUAUCACGCAGAACCCCGAUUGCGAAGGCAGCAUACCGGCGCCCGACUGACGCUGAAGCACGAAAGCGUGGGUAUCGAACAGG